CAGCUACAGAGGGCCUGAUUUUCCUCUCACUACUACCAGCAUAAAUUCACUAUUACCAUCAAGGUAUAUCCCACAGGCAUGCAGGCUCCUUAUAGACUUAGUACCUUCUGGAUCGAUCUCAAUCUAAGGCCAGGUCUACACUGCAAUGGAGUGUCUCCGUAUCUGUGAAUACAGUACCAGGACCUAUGUUAGCUCAAAUUGUUGGCUAUAGAACAUGAUUUACCAGAAGAAUUGCAAGCAAUAUGUGUGUUACUUCUUAUGUUGGAAUAUGGAAGACAAUUACACGGAAUUUUCAUGGAACAUCUGAAGUGUGGAUUGGCAUACUCAUUAAAGCUAUAUCAUGGAUUUAAAAUGGCACCAUGGAAUAAUUAUUAUUUGACUAUACAGAACACAGUGCUCCACCCCAAAAGAGCAGAUCAGAGUAACUGGGAGCA